GGGGAUUGAAAAUCCC
rnacentral:misc_RNA from 1 species